ACCCGUAGUCAAGAGGGAAACAGCCCAGACCAACAGCUAAGGUCCCCAAUGCCGUACUAAGUGGUAAAGGAUGUGGAGUUUCGAAAACAACCAGGAUGUUGGCUUAGAAGCAGCCACCAUUAAAAGAGUGCGUAAUAGCUCACUGGUCGAGAGACUCUGCGCCGAAGAUGACCGGGGCUAAAGUACGGAACCGAAGCUUUGGCAUGUAUGAAAAUACAUGGGUAGGGGAGCGUUCCUGCAUGGGCGAAGCCUGACCGGAAGGACAGGUGGACAGGCAGGAAGUGAGAAUGCCGGUAUGAGUAGCGAAAAGAAAGGUGAGAAUCCUUUCCACCGAAAGCCUAAGGGUUCCUGGGCAACGAUCGUCGACCCAGGGUAAGUCGGGACCUAAUCCGAGGCGAAGACGCAUAGGAGAUGGACAACAGGUUGAAAUUCCUGUACCGACGUCGUCUGUUUGAGCGAUGGAGUGACACAAGAAGGAAAGUUCGCAUGCGAUUGGAAGAGCAUGUCUAAGCAGGUAGGUUGAAUACCAGGCAAAUCCGGUAUUCUAAAAGCCGAGAAGUGAUAGGGAGCCUGUAGAGAUACAGGUGAAGGAACCGGGACUCGAUUGUCAAGAAAAGCUUCUAGUGAGGACGACGCCGCCCGUACCAAAACCGACACAGGUAGGCAAGAAGAGAAUUCUAAGGUGCGCGGGAAAACCCUCGUUAAGGAACUCGGCAAAAUGUAUCCGUAACUUCGGGAAAAGGAUAACCCAGAGUACGUGAAGGAAAGAAACAUCCGGAGCGGGAAUGGGUGGCACAAGAGAGGCCCAAGCGACUGUUUACCACAAACACAGGCGUCUGCUAAAGAGAAAUCUGAUGUAUAGAUGCUGACACCUGCCCGGUGCUGGAAGGUUAAGAGGACGUGUUAGCCGCAAGGCGAAGCAGAGAAUUGAAGCCCCAGUAAACGGCGGCCGUAACUAUAACGGUCCUAAGGUAGCGAAAUUCCUUGUCGGGUAAGUUCCGACCCGCACGAAAGGUGUAACGACUUGCGCACUGUCUCAACGAGGGACCCGGUGAAAUUGAAGUACCUGUGAAGAUGCAGGUUACCCGCGACUGGACAGAAAGACCCCAUGGAGCUUUACUGUAACCUGAGAUUGAAUUUUGGUAGAAGAUGUACAGGAUAGUUGGGAGACGUAGAAGCGCGCACGCCAGUGUACGCAGAGUCGAUGGUGGGAUACCAACCUUGUUUUAUUGAAAUUCUAACGAGAGCCGUAACGAGGCUGCGGACAGUCUCAGGCGGGCAGUUUGACUGGGGCGGUCGCCUCCGAAAGAGCAACGGAGGCGCCCAAAGGUUCCCUCAGCGCGGACGGAAACCGCGCGAAGAGUGUAAAGGCAGAAGGGAGCUUGACUGCGAGACGGACAGGUCGAGCAGGGACGAAAGUCGGGCUUAGUGAUCCGGUGGUAGAGAGUGGAAUUGCCAUCGCUCAACGGAUAAAAGCUACCCUGGGGAUAACAGGCUUAUCUCUCCCAAGAGUCCAUAUCGACGGGGAGGUUUGGCACCUCGAUGUCGGCUCAUCACAUCCUGGGGCUGUAGUAGGUCCCAAGGGUUGGGCUGUUCGCCCAUUAAAGUGGUACGCGAGCUGGGUUCAGAACGUCGUGAGACAGUUCGGUCCCUAUCCAUCGCGGGCGCAAGAAACUUGAAAGGGGCUGCUCCUAGUACGAGAGGACCGGAGUGGACGAACCAAUGGUGUAUCGGUUAUGCCGCCAGGCGUACAGCCGAGUAGCUACGUUCGGGACGGAUAAACGCUGAAAGCAUCUAAGCGUGAAACCAGCCUAAAGAUGAGGUUUCU
rnacentral:rRNA from 1 species